AGGCUAUUCGUGCAUGGAUGGCAGCUCUAGAACAACCUCAUGAAAAUUUUAUAUUCCUUGAGGAGGUUCUACCACGUGGAAACACUCUUUAAUGAAACUUUUGUUUUAGCCGGUCCUUACUAAGAAACCACCGGCUUUGCUUGGUGAGCUGGGAAUGUAAGACUUAUCAAUUUGUACGGCAAACUACUUGGAGCUCACGUAGCCCAUGCCAGAGUAAUCAUAUUCUUGGCCGGAGCAAUGAACCUAUUUAAAGAUUGGUGA
rnacentral:rRNA from 1 species